UGUGUGUGUGUGUGUAUGUGUGUGUGUGUGUGUGUGUGCUGUGUGUGAUGUGUGUGGAUGAACAUGUAUUCUAAAGCAUGCGUGCACAGGUUAGAGGACAACUUUGAGGAGUUAGUUCUGUUCUUCCAUUGUCAUGUGAAUUUGAGAGAGACAACUCACAUCUCCAGGCUUGUGACACAAGUACCACUACCCCUGAGCCAUCUCACUGAUCCACAGUCUAGCCUCUUGAUCCACAUAAAUCAACUUUUACUCCUCCAGUACCAUAUGAUUUUAGUGCCACGUACCAUAAGACCCAUUCCUAUAGUGAUAAGAACUCCAGCUUUGCACCUUUAUGUCACCAUGCUGAAUAAAUAAAUAGGCAGAGUCAUUAACAGAGGGAAUUUGGGAAACAAUUCCUUUAUCUAUUCACAUACAUAAGGCUCACAAGAAACGACAUAAAACACAAAGAUAAAAACUGAUUAAAUACCACUAACUAUAUCUCCCACCCAACUUCCCUUUGCUGGCUAACAAACAUGAAGGAAACAAAGGUAUAGAAUAGACUUUUAUAAGGAACUGGCUCUCAUGGUUUGUGGCUGAAAAUCUAGUAUUUCUAGAAUAGACUAACAGUUUGACAGUCCAGAAAUUCAGGUGAGAGUGGAUUUGGCAAUCUUAGAGCUGAAUUUUCUCUACUUUGGGAAACCUAAACCUCUGGUGUUAAGACCUUGAAGUGAUUAGUUGGAGCCCAGUUUUAUGAAAAACUUGUGUAACCACACCAAGACUAAUAUGGGAAAAAUAAAUUAUUUAGCUCAGUUAUCAUAUAAAGUCAAUAAUCACAACCAAUUAAACCAGUAGACAAAGACCUGCUAUUUUUUCAAUUUUUAUUGAAAUACAUAGCCAUGUGAACUCAUUCCUAUGGACCCAUAAAGGAUGUUAGAGUGGACCCACAUGCUUCGUAUUCAAAGUAUCAGCAAAUCUCAUUCAUUUCCUCUUCAAAUACAUCCAGAAUCACUACAUUUCUUUUGAGUUGUGAAUGCUCAAAUCUACUUUUUUCUGUUGUUUCACUAUUUUUGUGACAAUGUACUAAUCUCUGCUUUGUGUUCUUGAAUUAAAGAACUGAUUACUCCCAACUUUUCUAAUUUUAUGAAAACAUAUUAGGACAAAAUAUUUAUUCUUGGAUAAAAAUUCUUUGUGUUUUUUGGGUUUUUGUUAUACCAUUCCAUGUAUUAAAAUGAUAUCCUUUUAUCCAGCUCUGUGCCCUUUGCAUUUUAAUUAUCCAUCUUUGGACAAUUUGGAGUAUUAUAACCCAUGUCCAUUUAAAGGCAGCAACAGUGAAAAUUUGUGACAAGACCCUUUCUUGCUUAGCAAUCUGAUUUCAAGUACUUUAUACAAGAUAAAUUUGGCAGACUGAGCAAAUAGCAAUUCCCAGAUUGGGUGUCCUUCAGAACCAGAAACUAUUAAAGAAUCCCAUUGUGCAGCACGUGCAGAGGGUACUGGGAUGGAAUAGCCCAGAAGAAAGCAGGAAUAGCACAGGAUCAAGAGUGGACUGAUUAUUCCCAAAGUUACUUUCUUUGUAAAGGGAAAAGCAGAGGCAAAUUCUUAUGCUGGUUAAACUCGAUGUGCUUAAGAUAAUUUAGUCAUUAGCUAUUCUGAUUAGUCAGAAGCUCAUACAAAUGACUUACUUUUGCUUUCCUGUUAUAAAACUUUAGCAAUCCCACAUUGCUUUGGUCCAGUGGGAACCAGUGUAAAAGCUCAGUCCAAAUCAAUGGCCUUCUAUAAAUGUUAUUUAAUAUAACUAAAAAAAAAGUUCUUUGGCCUCCUAAUGGAAACUGUUAUGGUUUGAAUGUGAAACGCUGCCCAUAGGUUCUUAUGUUUGAACUCUUGGCCCCCAGCUGGUGGCACAAUUUAAGAAUAUUGGGAAGGUGGAGUUUACUGGAUCACUUGGGUAUGUGUCUUGAGUUUUAUAGCCCAACCUCCUUUCCUAUAUACUUUUGGCCUCCUUACAGUGGAUACAACGUGAUAGUCUGUCUCCUGCUUCUGUCUCCAUGUCUUCCCUAUCUGAUGGAAUGUCUCUCCUUGAACUCUAAGCUGAACUCUUCCUCUCUAAAGCUGUGUCAGGACAUGUAUUUUGUCACACCAACAAGAGAAGUAACUAGCAUAGAGACAUUGACUAUUUACUGCAAAUAUGCUUUGUUUGUGAGGCUUUCAUUUUCAUUUUUCAUGUUGCUCUUAUAUAAUUUCCAGGAAUGGAAAAGGGAAAAGACUAAUGUAUAUAACAUUUCUCAUAUGGCAAUGGCAGACAAUUCUUGCUUGAAUAAUAGCUGAUGUAAAAUAAGUGCUCCAUAAGAACUGUUUAGAUAAAAGAAUUAAUGAUUAAUUUAGUAAAGUACAUUCCCAUACCUAUGAAACUUAGAUAUUCUACUUGUUGGGAAAGAUGUCUAGAUUAGUGCUAUAGGGCCACUAUAUAUUCAUAAUCUCUAGUUCCACUUGGAAUUUUUUUGGUUUUGGUUUUUUUGAGACAGGGUUUCUCUGUGUAGAUUUGGGUGUCCUGGAACUCACACUGGAGACCAGGCUGGCCUCAAACCCACAGAGAUCCACCUGAAUCUGCCUCUCGAAUUCUGGUAUUAGAGGCGUGCUCCACCACGUCUCAUUCGCUUAAAAAUGUUUGUAUUUCCACCUUGAUGAGCCGGUUUCCUGCUCGCCUCAGUAAUAAUAAUUAUAUAUCCUGUGACAGUUUGGUCAGAUAUAGUUCACAUAUAUGACAGCAGUUCUAUGUGAUUAAACCACUGGCUUUGUAGCUAUCUUUAUGUAUGUAAGAACAUUCUGGUAUUUGCUAAAUGAUGAACUAAUAUAACAAUAAAUUUAUCUGAAAUUUUGUAGCCCUUUGUAAAAUGAUUCAUGAUUAUACUCCACCUACAGUAUUCUAUUCACUCAAUCUAUAAAUAUCUAGCUACAUUACUCACAGAUAUUCUUCAACUCCUGAUUCAAUAUGAAAGCGUUUUCAGUUGGAAACCUCAGCUAUGUUAAAAACAUGUAAAAAAAAAAAAACAAAGGUGGGUGUAAGUAUAGUUAUUAGCCACUCAGCAUUCACUUUAGGUGUAAACCAUUGCUUUUGACAUGCUAUUUUUAGCUAGAUGAAAGUUAAUGUCAGGGAAUUUAACUUUUCCCCCUCCCCAGAGGUGCAUUCAUCUACAGUUUCCUUCAAUCCCUGCUCAGAUCUGUGGACUUCGGAUAAGGCAACCUUCUAAGUAACAUCAAAUUCAACCUUUCCUAUCCUUGCCCUCUAUCUCAUCUCUUCAUCACCUUAGGCACUAUGAACUAAUUACCCAUAAGCCCCUUCACUCCUUUAUAUGGAACCUCUAUUUCCCUCCUCCCCUUCCAUCUCUAAGUCUGCUAAAAUGCUCAAGCUGAACUUUCCUCCCUUUCCUUGAAUAGUCAUAUUUCAGACUUGUUUGUUUGUUUUUUGGUUUUUCAAGACAGGGUUUCUCCGUGUUGUUUUUGUCCUGUAACUCUGUAAACCAGGCCGUCCUUAAACUCAGAGAUGUCCAUGCCUCUGCCUCCUGAGUGCUGAGAUUAAUGUUGUGUGCCACCAUAGCCCAGUCAUACUUCAGUUUCUUAAGCAAGGCUUAUAUGCUGUAAUGCCAGAAAGUCAGAGUAAAGGUCCCAGGAGAAAGUCUGUUGGGCACAGAUUGCAAUGAUGCUAUGUUUCAGAAACUAAGCAAACAUGGACGGUGUCCUAAUUCAAAUCAAAAGCAAGUGGGAAUUGAAAUGGUAGAGGCUGAAUUCAGCCACUUAUACAUAGCCGACAACAAACUUCAAUUACUUUGGAAACUGGGGCAGGGAAGAUUCCUUUGGGUACACCAGUCAGCUCCUCACACAGAAGGAACAAGCAGAGACUGAGGCCCGGGAAGCUGAGGGUGGCUGCUGAUAGCAGUUGAAUUUAAAUAUUUGAAAUGUUGUUGAGUGAAAAUCCUGGGCUGGUCCUAUAGUGUAGGUGAGGAAGGAAAGGAGAGAGAUGUAUCUGCAAUGUGAGAGAGAAUUUUCUAUCAGAAUGAUCAAAAAAUAUAAUGAUUUAGCUAGAGUAUGACUAUAUUUUUAGCACUGAAGAAGUUUACUCCUGAAUCCAAAUAAUCAUUUACUAGGCAAUUCUUACAGCACAUCACUUGUUUAGUCACAGGGAUUCUUCCUUCACUGAAGGAAAGCAUGGGAUUUAUUUUGCACCCUGGAGGGAGGGAGGGAUGGAGUACUAAGUGCAUGAAGGUCUGGCUGAAUGUAUAUUGUUGACAUAGGCAAAGCCAUGACAAAGAUCAAGGCCUCAGCCCAUGGCAAAUUGGCAAUGCCUUUCCCCAUAUGGGUUUGUCCUGCUCAAAAUGGCAAAGCCUUCUUCCUCUGGUUCAAGUAUGAAAGUGUAAGGAUUAUUGAUCAGUGUGCACCCAAACUAGAAACUUCAGCUUCCUCCCCCAAGAGGUUUACAGCCAGAGACUGCUUUCCUCCAGAGACCUCCUCCUCCUGGGACUAGCUAACUGUGCUGAAGUUCCCAGCGGUGGUGGUAUAGGUGUGGUUCCAUCAAACUGCAUAGUCCAUCUGAUCCAUCUUUUCUCUGUGUGUCUGUCAAUUCCUCAUCCCCUUGUUGCCCCAGUCAGGGUUCCAGAUCAAAGUUGUGUGGGUUGCAGCUGUACUCUCAACACAUUUAGUGUCUGUCUUAAUUCCUACUCCAUACAUAGUAGGUAUUCAAUAAGUUAGUUAUUAAUGAUGAGAAAUAAUGGUGAUCUUUCAAUAAAUAAUGCAUUAAAUGAAUGCAUUAAAAUAAAAAUAAAAUGGAGAUCACGAGUAAAAGAGGACAGAGUAUCUUUUCUGAAUGUACUGUUGUGUUGUGAGUGCUGUAAAGAUGAUCUUAAAGAAUUUUGUGAACCCCAAAAUACUAUUACCAACAUUAAGCGUUUUCAUGGAAUUCAUGCUUUUUAUCGCAAACUUACCAUUAGUGUUAUAUGAAAAACAAUAAUAUACAAGCUUAGGUUCUUGAUUCUGAGAAACUAGCAACUCCUGAGUGCCAAAUACAUUUAAAUGAAGUAAUUGAAAGGAAAACAAGAGAUAUAUGGUCCCACGAACACAGGAACACUUCUGGUCCCCAGGUAGCCAAAAUGCCUUUAUUAUUUUGUUGGUGAAUUUGACUGCUCACAUUUGUCAAGGCAUCAGCAUUAAUUUCAAUAAUAGCAUGGUUUGUAACAUUAGGUACUGUUAUGGGUGGUUUAUAUCUCUGAUUAUCUGCAAAUAGGAACAAUAACUCCUGAUAUAAUUCUAUGAUCGACUGAGAGAAUGUAAACCAGGUUCUUCAAAUUGAGUUGUCAUUAUCAAUGUACAGAGGGUUCAUUUUUCUGCUCUUUUGAUGUAUAGAUAAUAUUUAUUUUCUUACUAUGCUAGUAGUUGGUACUUAGGUUUAUCUAGUUUGUAUUUUUCCCUGGAGGGAAAAUAAUUUGGUCCUAGAGCAUAUUGGGUGGGGUGCUUGACGAAAUGUGAGUUAAAGAAUACAUCCUUUGGCAGAAGGGACACAUCUUACUAUUGAAAAUGUAAACUGAGUACUUAUGGGAUGGAAGAUGAGGGUUACUGGGGAGAAGAUUGAUUGGCACUCUUGGUAGUUGAUUCGCCCAUUGACUUUUUGCUUCUGUUUCUUGAUGUGCCUUUCUAGAAGCCAUUUGUUGCUGUUGGAUUACGAUUUCAGUGCUCCUACACUGCCUUCCUGGACAGUUAUUCCAUAGGUGGCAUUCACAUCAUCCAGACUCCUCCAUUGUCUUGCUUGUUUUUCGCCAUUAUACUUAGGGAAUGUUCUGGAAAUGCAACAUCCUGAGGUUAGGAGGGAGAUGCAUAGAACAUUCUAGGCUCAGUUCUAGCUUUUCAUAGAACAAGGUUUUCACCACAUUCUCACAGUCAGUAAUAUGACCAUGGAGACAUAAAUUCCAAUGCACUUUGCUUUUGGGGAACUUCUCAUCUGGUAUAAGUGGAACAGUCAAGGCCUCAUCUACUCCAGGAAGUUUUCUGGGCUAAGACUUAGAGCAAAUUCUUGACUUCUGUUGUGUCUUGCUGCCUAUCUGAAAGUAAUAAAACUGCUUCAUGUAAAUUCAUCUACAUGUGGGUAUUCUGUUUCAUCAGAUAGAUGAGUUGAUAAUCAGUACACAAUGAAAUGGCUUCAUACUUCCUGCUAUCUGAAGUCCUUAAGCAUGAGAAGGAAUGAUUGAUGGCGUGUGAGUGAGUGGUGCCUGUCAAAUCCACAAACAAGACUGCUGCAAUUCAUUGUUAGCUCGGCCAAGUUAACAAUGGUUGCACAGCGCAGGACCAAUUGGGCUUUAAACUAAAUCCCUAUUUCUGUGCAAACGGCUGAUUUGUUGACUCCUUCUAGAGUAAGGCUGGCUACAUGGAACCGUGAGAAGCUGAACUGUGGAGACAAGAACAGUAUUUUUUCCCCAAUGGUCAAGUUCUGUGGUGGCCUUCUGGAACAGAUUGAAUUACUUCCACAUCUUCUGAUGUAUUUUUUUCCCUUUGCUCUCUAAAACUAGAAGUAACAUUUAAAAAUCAUGUCCAUUUCAAAGUUAAAAUAUCUUCAUUUUCUUCAUUUUAAAGGUUCUUUUUUUUUUCUGAUUCUGUGCUUCAGUGAACACGUUUAUUUCCAAGCACCAAGAGCAACAGGAGCUCCUUCAGACUGUAUCAGCUUACAAGCCAGUGUGCAAAGACAGGAUGAAAAACCACAGGCUUAUGGGAUGCUUCCUGUAGGGGCCAAAUUGCUUGCCACUCUUGCUUCACCAAGCUGUCUAGAAAAACAUUUGGUUUCCAGAUGUUCAGUAUGACAGGACCCUUGUUCUUUUUCAGGAUCCAUGGGACUUGUACUAUCCAAGAUACCAUCAGAAUGUUUUUCCAUAGUGUUUUCAGGUAAACAUGUAAAGGCUAGGACAAGAAGACAGGCUUCCAAAGCAGACUGAAGACCCUGCUCAUUCCUUCACUGAUAUUACAAACACCUUCUUCAGAUUUCUGAAAUGACCAGAGGCUCCCUAGGGCUCCUCCAGGCCUUCACAACCAGAUUGGGACUUGGAGACUGAACCAACAUUGGGUUCAUGACUCUUGGGUUAUCUGGCAUGAUACACAUUUUCUUCUAUAACUCUGAAUGUAUGUAAAUGAGUGUAAUAAAUACUCUUUUAAUAUG